rnacentral:rRNA from 1 species
GGCGUCGAGUGGCGGACGGGUGAGUAAUGCAUAGGAAUCUACCCUGUAGUGGGGGACAACCUGGGGAAACUCAGGCUAAUACCGCAUAAUCCCUAAGGGGGAAAGUGGGGGACCUUCGGGCCUCACGCUAUUGGAUGAGCCUAUGUCGGAUUAGCUAGUUGGUGGGGUAAUGGCCUACCAAGCCGACGAUCCAUAGCUGGUCUGAGAGGAUGACCAGCCAGAAUGGGACUGAGACACGGCCCAUACUCC